AGCUUGGUUUGAUAUGUGAAAACAGAAACAGGAUUGUUUGUAGUCCCAUCCAGACCGGAGUACUAUUGGUGUAGUUCAGCCUCUUGUGGCCCAAAUGAGUAUUACUAAAACGAACACUGAAAAAUCCCUUUUUUCACACGUCUCUCAUGGCAGGCAGGUGAAACAAGAAACCCCACCUGUUAGCAGAUUCUUUUGAAAAAAUCACUUGUUUUCACAGAUGGCAAAAACUGAUCGUGGCAAAAACAAAUACAUUAAAAAAAUGACUUGCAUCUCAUGGCUCGUUUUCAAAAAUGAAAAACAAAAUCUCCUGAUUAUUCAUGUCUUCUCUCUAAUAAAGAAACAAAUAAUAAAUAAAAUUAAUAAAAGACCUCUGCUUUUAUCCUUCUGAAAACCCACCAUGUUGAAAUGUACAGAAGUAGUAACUAUUCACUUUUCCACAAACUGGCCUUUAUUUGAUGGAAUCUAAUGGUCAAAUACAGAAUUAUUUAACGUAAUAAAGAUAUAUGUUUUACAUGCUAUAUAGGCUGUGCAUGAAUAUUUCUAUUGUGAAGUGUACAGUACUGUAUGUAUGUUGUCUCACACACAGAUUUGACUUAAAAGUUUGUAGUCAAUUAGACCCCAGAAAGGUGUAACUCUAAGUUAAACUUCUUAUGAAAGAGCUGUUAUAAAACUCCAAUAAGAGAAAUUACUGGAUGAGUAAUCUAUACUGAAACUUCUUGUAAAGAAGUAGGAACUGGGGCCUCUCCAGCAUUUACAAAAUAACACAUUACUCUCUCCUACUCACAACAUCAAGUGUGUGAGAGAGUUCACACAUUCAAUAUUUCCAAUUACAUUUUUACAAUAAUGUGGCGCCAUCUGUUGGAGUAUAGUGGUGUAAAAUUACAACUUUAACAAGAUACAUACUGCAUAUUUCCCACCAGCAGGAGGCAGCAUGAAACUAACCAUGCCAAAGUGGGUUAUUCACUGAGUGCUUAACUGUUGUUUCUUGGUUGUCUCUAAAACACCCCCAAACAUAUUUAUUUGGAGAUUUUUAAAAAAGCGUUGUACAUGUGUUUUUUGUUUGUUAUUUUUUUGGUUUGUUUUUUUGUUUUUGUUUUAAAUGUACAAAGUAAAACAUAAAACAUAAGUAACAAAUAUUGAAA